GUAAUUAUGUUAAUACCAAUACUACUGCUUUAACUCAUUGUGUCAAGAAGCACAGUACUUUGGACUCAGUCAAGGUCGCCUUCUCCUGUAACUCAGUCUCUAAUCACCUGACAAUAAAAAAAAAAAAACUUACUAUCAAAAGCCAGUGAAAAGACAGAUUUAUAGCAUUUCAUAUAAUAGUAGUUUAUUGAAUGCCAUGACCACCUCAAUCAAUUUAAACCAAUCUUUAAAAUAUCAUUCUAGCAAGUAAAGUGAAUAACUUGAAAAAAUAGUGGGGGGGUGAUUAGGGGUGUGGGGUGUGAAGGUUUUUGAGGAAGAACAAGAGCUCAAGCCUUCUGUUUGAAUGUACUGUCAAGAAGACAAAGAGCACAGGGAACUGUAUCCAAUCUCCUGGGAUUGAAAUCCAUGAUGGAACAUAACAUGAGAAAAGUAAUGUACAUAUAUAUGUAUGACUGGUCCUUUUCCUACACAGGAGUAAUGGCACAACAUCGUAAACCAACUAUACUUUAUUUUUUAAAAACACUUAAAAAAGACAAAAGCUUAUUUACACAUGUAACCAUUCUAAAAAUGUGUCCCGUCUAUGCUCUUAUUCUCUUAAAGGAUUCUUUCUUACAUGAAUGGCAACAAAGAUACUGUAACUUUCCCCAAGUGUAAGGUUAUGUGAGAUUCAUCUCUGCUCAUUUACAGCACCCAAGAAUUUUCACCCUCUGAGAAGGAAUAAUGCUCUCAGACAAGCUGAUGACCCUCACCUAGGAAAAACUUCAUGUGAGCAUCAUUAAAUGUAGUAAGUCAUUUAUCUAUAUGUCAUUAAGAAUCUAUGAAGAGAAAUAAAGUCGAUGUAUAUUGAUCCAUUUUAGACCUACUGAUCUUCUUAUAAGGACAUAAAGGAAAAAUUACAUGUAAUAUGGAUUACUGACACGUGCUUGGGAUUUUAUAUAACACAAUAUUUAAGAAAGCAUAUUAGACUGAAAGAUGAGGAUAUGUGGGUUUUACAACUCUUCUAAAGAUUUUACAACUUUAGGCAAAAUGAUACCCAACACUUUGGCUACUUACUUAUGUGAUGAUGGUAAGAAGUUGGACAAGAUAACAUCCAAGGUUACUUUGAGCUAUUAUUCAAUUUCUACACCUCAAGAUCUAAAUUAGUCUUCUCCUGCUGCUGUAACAAACUACCACAAAUUUAAUGGCUUAAAACAACACAAAUUUAUUGUCUUAUAAUUCUGAAAGACUAAAGUAAAAAAGCAGCUUCCCCUGGCAAAGUCAGGGUUUCAGCAGCGUUCCUCCAGAGGGCCUAAGGGAAAAUCUAUUUGCUUACCUCUUCCAUCUUCUAGAGGCUGCCUACAUUCCUCAAAUCACGGACCCUUUCGUCUUCAAAGCCAUCAGUGUAGCAUCUACAAAUUUUACUCCUUUCUCACUGUUUCAAUCAUCACUUUGUCUCUGAGUCUGACUUUACUGCUUGUAUCCAUGUAUCUUCUCUCUCUGACUUUGACCUUCCUGCCUCCUUCGUAAAAGGGUUAUUGCAGUUUCAUCAUUGAACCCUCUUGAAUAGACCAGUUUAAUCUAUCUCAGGAUCCUUACAUCUGCAAAGUCUUUUUUGCCAUGUAAAGGUAACAUCAUCACAGGUACUUGUGAUUAAUAUGUUAAUAUGUCUUUGGAGGGCUACUGUUCAGUCCACCACACUAACAUAUCCUUCAAAGUGGUUAUGCAUCUGAGUUACUGCAAAAGAACAAUUUUCCUAAUUUGAAAGAAACAUAAUAAAAUGAACCAUGUAUCCAAGUGAGUUGUAACCAGCAAAGUCACUUUCAAAAAAACAGAAAAUUGGCUCACUAAUCUUGCCAUUGCUCAGAUUUUGGUAAAAUACUUAUUUGGAAGGGCUUUCAGAGUCAACUACAUAUUCUUUUGAAUGUCAUCAUUGUUGCUUUUAAUAUCAGUUAUUUGAAACCAACAGUAAUGAAUGAAAUGACGUGUUUCAUACUUUUCACAUAAAAAAUACUAAAUCAAAAAAAAAAAAAAAAA